rnacentral:tRNA from 1 species
GCCUCGGUGGCUCCGAGGCGAGAGCGCCGGCCUACAGAUCCCCGGUGACAGGUUCGAAUCCCGACCGAGGUG